UACGGGGGAUGCAAGCGUUAUCCGGAUUUAUUGGGUUUAAAGGGUGCGUAGGCUGUGAGGUAAGUCAGCGGUGAAAUGCCCCCGCUCAACGGGGUGAAGUGCCAUUGAUACUGCCUUGCUGGAAUGCGGAUGCCGUGGGAGGAAUGUGUGGUGUAGCGGUGAAAUGCUUAGAGAUCAUACAGAACACCGAUUGCGAAGGCAGCUUACCAAGCUACUUCUGACGUUGAGGCACGAAAGCGUGGGGAGCAAACAGG
rnacentral:rRNA from 1 species